GAGACGCUGAAAGUCCGGAUUUAAAGUGCAGAAAAUUAAGCCAUUGAAUCUGCCUGUCCAUGACGUACAAAGGCACACUAUGAGCCAGUAUGAUCCGACCAGACCUUACAUCAGCAUUGAGGAGUUGUCGGAGAAGAAACAGGCUGAUUGAAGCGGGACAGAUGACAUGGAUCCAUCCUUCCACAGCCAGGAGCGCACCGACCUGUGUCCCACACUUCAUAUAAGACUGGAAGCUACACUGGAUCUCACAGCUACACACCACAGACGUCUACACACUGGAGAAGAUUCAGACAGAGUCCCACAAAGAAGUCAUGACCCAGAGGCUGCAGAGAAACAUUUCAAGCCUCACCUGAG